UUGAUUUGACAGCCAGACAAACAGACGAACCGAAAAGGAUGCCCGGAAUUGAUGUUGUUCUUUUCGAUUCUCCCAAAACUUCAGCUUGGAGUGGAAACUUUGCGGCAAGAAGGCCAGUGCAGCGUAACACGGAGUCCAGGAAUUCAUUUCGCCCGAUCCCGAGCAAUGCCCCAUCCACUUCUGCCCCAAAGCCAAUAUCAAUUUAUCAAUUAAUGCGGCUAAUGAGAGGGCGAACUGUGAAUCGUUGCUGUGUCACUUAAUGCAAGGCUCCCCCAAACACACAAAACCCCUGUCUUUUAUGUUCCCCCAUUCUGAUUAACUGAACGCGGAAAACCUCAAAUCCCAUGUAUACUGCAAAUCAUAUUACAAGCAAAGGGAACGUUCGAUUUGAUUCUGGCUCUUGUCAUUUAAUAUCCGCAAUUAAAGUGGUCAUCAAUCAAAGCGAAACCUAAAUGAAUUAAAAGUAAACGCAAGAACAAAGCAAAGGAUGAAUGCACGGGGCACAACAGUAAACAGAAGAACCAAAGGAACCGGGAUAAGCGGGAUGGAGCAAAUGAACGAGAAACGAAAGGAAAGAAGCGACUGAAAAGGAAACCGAAAAGCGGCGGCAACAACCGAAGGAUAUAACCCAACACAAACAGCGGUCGCUUACGCACACUGUCACACCAACGAUGACCGUUAUCGUUGUCCAGUCCCCCACUGAGAAAAAUUUGAGCCAUCAUAUUUUUAUAUUCCUCGUGCUCUGGUGAUUGCUUAAUUUGGUAUGACAAAUAUGUUAAAUGUGAAACUGUUAAAUUAUUUUUGGGAU
rnacentral:sRNA from 1 species